rnacentral:lncRNA from 1 species
CAUUCAACUAAUAAUAGCAAUCAAACCUAGCAUUGUAUGCCUCCCCUACACACUGACAUCCACCCUAACCAACUAGAUACUUUGAAUCCACAAUCAAUAUUGGAUAAUUUAGGGCAUUUAACAAAUAGUAUCAAUCAAACCCCAACACCAUGCACCUUUACCAUACAUCUGGCAACACCAUGCACCUCUACCAUACAUCUGGCAUUCGCCCUAAUUGACUAAACCUAGCGUCGAGAGUAAGGUUGACUUACCAAGAUUAAGUGUUUUGACUUAUCUAAGUGCCGCAUAAGCUUAGGAAAAGACUAAGUCUGUGAUAGUUGGUAUUAGAGCUCGACUACGAAGUGGGCACAGUAAAGAAAGCAUGUCGGGCUCUAACAUGGAUGAGACUAGUGAGCAAACCCAUGGGAGGGAGACCGAGCCUACUGCAUGGGGCAAGGGCAAAAAAGCUAAAUCUCGUGAUGUUGUUACCAACAUGGAGGCAAGGUUAGCCAAGGUGGAGCGAGCCAUGACAGACACUCGGGAGGGGUUGGACUUGAUCGAGCAAGGCAUGGAGAAGGGUAUGAAGGAUCUUAGGCAACAGAUCCAAGACCUUCAUGAGGGGAUGCUAGUCUCACAAGUUCAGCCGGUGUCACACGAGGAGUUUAUGUCCUUCCAAGAAAAGGUCUUGAGCAUGCUUGCUAGCAUGGAGUCAAGGAUGGAGGCCUUGGCCACUCGAAUGGAGUCCCAAGACCAGGAGGUUAGGUAGGAGUUGGCCAUCUACAAGGCUAUUGUGUCGGCACGGGUCAUGGCCACAUAGGAAACAUCUAGGGUGGAGGUGCUGAAGCCACAAGGGUUUAAUGGCAAGCGGGAUGCCAAGGAGUUGAACAACUUCUUAUGGCAUAUGGAGUGAUAUUUCGAGGCUAUCGCAUUGACUGAUGAGGUGACUAAGGUAAGGAUUGCAACCCUUUACCUUACUGACACAACUACUCUAUGGUGGUGUCAGAGGUUUGCCAAUAUGGAGAAAGACAUUUGCACCAUAGAGACGUGCGAAGACUUCAAGAGGGAGAUCAAGAAGCAGUUCUACCCUGAGGACGUAGCUUACAUGGCUAGGAAAAACAUGAGGCGUCUCAAGUGCACAUGCUUGAUACUCGACUAUGUUAAGGAAUUCUCUUCGCUCAUGCUUGAGAUUCUUAACAUGAUUGAGGAGGAGUUGCUAUUCAACUUCAUGUAUAACUUGCAAGGGUGGGCUGAGUAGGAAUUAAGGCGCCGAGGUGUUCAAGACUUAGCCACUGUUAUGGCAGUAGCAGAGUCUUUAAUGGAUUACAAGAGGGGAGACUCAUCCAAGGUUGAGUCUUUGGGAGAUAGCCACGCCACGGGUGGGAGAGACAAGGUUUCAAGGGACCAUAAUGCUCUUAGAAUGGGAUUAGGCAAGACGCCUAAUGUUCGGGAAGGAAGGGGUAAGGCAAAAAGGAAGGAGUUUAUGCCUAAAAUCAAAUGCUUCCUAUGUGAAGGUUCAUAUUAGGCAUGAGAUUGUCUAAAGAGGAACGCACUUAAUGCCAUGAUCGAGGAGAGGGAACAAGAAGGCGAAGCACAUAUGAGCUUGAUGCAGUUACUAGGUGCCCUCCAAGUCAACCUAAAGCCUAGUACGCCUAAGACCUCCUUAUUAUCAGGAGUGCAAGUAAAUGAGGUAAAAUGGUAGCGAGCUGAGGUAACCCGCACACACAUGGACAAGGUCACUAAGGAAAAUGUGAACUUGAUGGGUAAGAGGAAGCAACACUCCAAGCAUCGAAAGUACAGGUGUCUGCAUCCAACCCAAGCCUGACGGGAGAAUAAGGUGAAGAAUAUCCUAGUUGAAUGGGUCACUAGGAGACAAGGGGUCCCUCCUAUGAUAGAGUAUAUAGUCCAAUGGAAAUGACUACUUAAGAGGCAGACAAGCUAGGAACAUGCGAAUUCCUUGAGAAGGUUUUGGAAACACAUGGAGAGGUUUCAAGAAGAGGCAAUGACAGAGACGUCAACAUCAUAGGUGGGGGGAGUGUCACAAGAUGCUUCAAAUGACCCUCCUCAUGGGCUUAUAUAGGAGGUGGGAAGCUUCUAGAGACCCUUAGAGACAUCUACACUUAACUACAAAGUGGAAGAGUAUGAAAACUUCUAGAGAGGGCUAGAGAUGUCCACAAUUCUCUACACUUGGCUAAGAGAGCAUUGGAAUAGUGUGGGGUGUUCUAGAAUAUUCUAAAGUCAUCUUGUACAUACCCUUGUACAUAGACUAGUGUAGGAGCUUCUAGAUUAUUCUUGAUUUGUAGGGAACCCUUCAAGGUUUUAGAGAUUUCCUAAGGUGCCUAUAAAUAGGUUAAGGCCUCAUUUGGCCAAGGCACCACCCAAAAACCACCCAAGAACCUAACCAACCAAGCAAAUGAGUUCCAAAGUACUUGUAAAGCUUCCUUUGAACAAUAAAGCUUCAGUUGUUUAAGUGUUGCCUACUACGCCCUUAAAGCUUCUAAGUCAGGUGCAUCUUCGCCUAGUAAGCUAAGCAUCGGGAGUAAGGUUGACUUAGCAAGAUCAAGUGUCUUGACUUGUCUAAGUG